CUAAGGUAGCGAAAUUCCUUGUCGGGUAAGUUCCGACCUGCACGAAUGGUGUAACCAUGGCCACGCUGUCUCCACCCGAGACUCAGUGAAAUUGAAAUCGCAGUGAAGAUGCUGUGUACCCGCACCUAGACGGAAAGACCCCGUGAACCUUUACUACAGCUUGGCACUGAACAUUGAACCUACAUGUGUAGGAUAGGUGGGAGGCUAUGAAACAUUGUCGCUAGAUGAUGUGGAGCCGUCCUUGAAAUACCACCCUUGUAUGUUUGAUGUUCUAACAUAGGCCCCUUAUCGGGGUUGUGGACAGUGUCUGGUGGGUAGUUUGACUGGGGCGGUCUCCUCCCAAAUAGUAACGGAGGAGCACGAAGGUUAGCUAAUCACGGUCGGACAUCGUGAGGUUAGUGCAAUGGCAUAAGCUAGCUUAACUGCGAGACAGACACGUCGAGCAGGUACGAAAGUAGGUCAUAGUGAUCCGGUGGUUCUGAAUGGAAGGGCCAUCGCUCAACGGAUAAAAGGUACUCCGGGGAUAACAGGCUGAUACCGCCCAAGAGUUCAUAUCGACGGCGGUGUUUGGCACCUCGAUGUCGGCUCAUCACAUCCUGGGGCUGGAGCAGGUCCCAAGGGUAUGGCUGUUCGCCAUUUAAAGUGGUACGCGAGCUGGGUUUAGAACGUCGUGAGACAGUUCGGUCCCUAUCUGGUGUGGGCGUUGGAAGAUUGAUGGGAGCUGCUCCUAGUACGAGAGGACCGGAGUGGACGAACCGCUGGUGUUCGGGUUGUUUUGCCAAAGGCAUUGCCCGGUAGCUACGUUCGGAACGGAUAACCGCUGAAAGCAUCUAAGCGGGAAGCCGGCCCAGAGAUGAAUCUUCCCUGACCUUUAAGGUCUGGAAGGGUUGUCGCAGACGACGACGUUGAUAGGCAGGGUGUGGAAGCGUUGUAAGGCGUUAAGCUAACCUGUACUAAUUGCCCGUGAGGCUUAACCAU
rnacentral:rRNA from 1 species